UCCUCGUUAGCUCAGUUGGUAGAGCGUUCGGCUUUUAACCGAAACGUCAAGGGUUCAAGCCCCUUACGAGGAG
rnacentral:tRNA from 1 species